rnacentral:rRNA from 1 species
UACAGAGGGGGCAAGCGUUGUUCGGAAUUACUGGGCGUAAAGGGCGCGUAGGCGGCCUGUUAAGUCGAACGUGAAAUCCCCGGGCUCAACCCGGGAACUGCGUCCGAUACUGGCAGGCUUGAAUCCGGGAGAGGGAUGCGGAAUUCCAGGUGUAGCGGUGAAAUGCGUAGAUAUCAGGAGGAACACCGGUGGCGAAGGCGGUUCUCUGGGAAUGUCCUGACGCUGAGGAGCGAAAGUGUGGGGAGCGAACAGG